UACGAAGGGUGCAAGCGUUACUCGGAAUUACUGGGCGUAAAGCGUGCGUAGGUGGUUUGUUAAGUCUGAUGUGAAAGCCCUGGGCUCAACCUGGGAAUUGCAUUGGAUACUGGCGGGCUAGAGUACGGUAGAGGGUGGCGGAAUUCCGGGUGUAGCGGUGGAAUGCGUAGAGAUCCGGAGGAAGACCGGUGGCGAAGGCGGCCUGCUGGGCAGAUACUGACACUGAGGCGCGACAGCGUGGGGAGCAAACAGG
rnacentral:rRNA from 1 species